UCCCCAGUUUCUUUUCUUUCUUCUCCCUCUCUCUCCUCGUCCGUUUUCACAUCUCUCUGAUAAGUUAAUGUCUGGUAAACCGACCAAAAUUGAUCUGGACAAGGACACCCGAAUUGAUGUGCGAUGCCAGAUUCAUCAAUUGACUUUCAGUCCUCAUACAGAUGCCAAAGGGAUUAUGGAUCUGGUGAAGUUUCUUUCUCCCAAGCACGUGAUACUUGUUCAUGGUGAGAAGCCUAGGAUGGCUACUCUGAAAGGAAGAAUUCAAUCCGAACUGGGAAUUCAAAGUUGCUCAAAUCCAAACUUCAAGUUUUCUACAGGCGGCUCAGAACACGAACAAAUCCAAACUCCGAUGCAUUUUUUUUUUCGGGAUGUCCCGGUCCCGACCUGGUACUGUUCGGGUUCGGGCCCGUCGGGAUCACUUCUCAAAAUAGCAUUAACCGUCCCGUCCCG